UUUGAACUUUGAAUGUUGGAUGAAUGAGUAUAUUCCCUUGCUUUGGAGAUUAUAUUUUUACCUUAUAUAUAGUUAAAACAUUGACGUCACCGGAGUUCAUAAAACGGUCUCUGGAAAUGGAAGCAGCGUCCGUUGAUUGCAAAGAAUAGUUAUAGCUUUGGAGCCCUUUUCCGCCACCAGCAUUGUGGGUGGUUGAAGUUUCGCAAACAUAUGAGAAGCAGCUUAACGUUCGGACUUGAAUCUACCAAUUAUUUGGAUCGCUCCAAUACUGCUCCAAUGGUUCCGUAUGUGGACUAGUUGGCUGGCUAAAGUUAUUUAAUAUUCAGGUGACGUUUAGCUUUAUUUUUUUUUUAUAUUUAUAUAAAAUUAAACUUGUAAAUAAUUCAAGUGAUGUGAUCACAUCUUUUUACGUUGUAGUAGAUAAGAUUUUUACUUUCUAGCUAGAAUAUAUAUUUAUAUCUCGUGAUGAUAGAUCAAUCAACUUGGUCUCUGAUUCAUUACGUAAACUCGAAAGAGACAUUCUCACAAUUUCACAUAGUCUUCUUUCUUUUUUUUUUCUGUCGUUUUUCUUCUUGCACAAUCCAAAUAUGAAUCGUGGGUAUAUGUUAAAGACAUUUUGACAUUCAAGUAAGUUCUUUUUAUUGACAAUUGAUUAUUACAAUUAGGUUUAAUACACCACUUGAUCCCUAUUUUUAGGGAUUUGGUUCAAAAUGAUCUUACUUUUUAAAAAGUUUAUUAAGAUUCUAUAUUUCGUUAAAAAAUAUUCAAUAAUAUCCUUUUGUCUCACGGCUUUAAAAACGUAACGGUGGAAGUGCCACCGUGACCAAAACUGAGUGACCUGUACAGUUUGAUGUAUACGUGACACAUAUGAUAUAUUUGAAUGUGUAAAUUAAAAAAAAAUAAUAAUAAUUAUAAUGACGUGACCUAGGUUACCCUAAGUUACCCAAACAGACCCUAAAACCCUAAGUUACGCUUGAAAUACCUCGUUAUCUUCUCCAAUCUUCACCUGCACCACAAUAAUUCCAUUUUUAGGAAGAAAUGCAAUUCCACUUCUAGAAAUAAUUAUUGUUAUCUCUGUUGAACUCUAAAGGAAUAAUUGCUGAGAAAACCUGAUGCAGUCAUUGACAAUUGGUAAAAAUUCACCCUUUAGAGUGGUACCAAACUAAGAAAAAUAAUCAAAAAAUUAUGAGGAAUUUUCAUCAUUUGGGUGUGAUUAAUCUAUAAUACACAGUAUCUAGAGGGGUAACUUUGUUAUCUUAAAAGGAGCUCGUUGUUCUGUUUUUUCCCUUUCCUCUUUGGAUCAGAUGCAACCUUCCCCUUUUAUGUUUCCUUUUUCUUGUGUUCUUUUUCUUAAAUGAUAAAAUUCAUCUGCAAAAUACUCUUGUUGUCAUUGGGACACAACAUCAUCAACAUAGUGAUAUGGUUUGGAUUUCAAUUUGUUGUUGAUGUCUGCUUUUCGAGUUUAAUCCCUGUUAGCCUCUGCAACACUAUUGGCUGGAUGUUGGUUUCUGGUUGGUGGCAUCUUUGAUUUGCGGUGAUAGCUUAGUUGGGAGAGCAUCAGAUUAAAGAUCUGAAGGUCGCAUGUUCAAUCCAUGCUCAUCAAUUCCUUAUUUCCACAAACUGCAGAUUUUGAACAAACAUUGGUCGAGAACCACCCUUUUCCCAGGACUUUUUACAAUGAGCGGUGACACUCUCGAUUGAAUUCUCCAGCUUGGUACUAAUAUUCUUGUUGAACAACUGCAACUCAUAAGAUCCAGCUAAACUGAGUGAAAAAGACAAAGACGAAAAGGAUGGCCCAGAAGAAAAAGAGGACACGUCAUUCAGUUUUGGCCACGGUGGUAAUUACACUAUUAUGUUUUAACGUCGUAAACCAAAAGGACCAUGUUGAACAUUUUUUAACGAAAUGUUUCGGUUCCCAUUCAAUUCCUUUCAG
rnacentral:lncRNA from 1 species